AUGCCUAACGAACUCGGAGAUAGCUGGUUCUCCUCGAAAUAUAUCUAGGUAUAGCCUGAAAGGUAAGCACAGGGGUAGAGCACUGGAUCGAUUUUUCAGCGUAAGCUGGAAGAUUGAAUCAAACUCCGAAUACUGUGCCAAUUACUUUCAGAGUCAGUCCGAUCCGGCUAAGCGGAGCGGGCCUGAGGGAAACAUCCCAGACCAACAGCUAAGGUCCCUAAAUGCAAGUUAAGUGUUAAAGGAAGUCAUAUUCCUUAGACAGCCAGGAAGUUGGCUUAGAAGCAGCCAUCUUUUAAAGAUAGCGUAACAGCUCGCUGGUCUAGUCACGGAGUGUGGCACCGACAAUGAAUCGGGGCUAAACUUGCUACCGAAGCUUUGGGUCUUGUGCUUCGCACAGAGGAUAUUAGGAAGAAGGAUAGUAGUAACUAGUCUUUUUGAUUAAUCACUGCUUCCUGUUAUCCUACUAUCUUUUGUGUGGAGCACGAGGCGGUAGAGGAGCGUUCUAUACGGAGUGAAUAGUUGUCGUAAGGCGACUUGGACUGUAUAGAAGUGAGAAUGCCGGUAUGAGUAGCGAAUUUACGUGAGAAACGUAAUCGCCGAAUGCCCAAGGUUUCCCACGCAAUGUUAAUCAGCGUGGGGUUAAUCGGUCCUAAGGUCAGUCCUCCUUUUGGAGGAGUAGCCGAUGGAUUACAGGUUAAAAUUCCUGUAUUGAGGUUGUUCUGACAAGUCCUCUUGUGCUUCGCACAGAGGAUAUUAGGAAGAAGGAUAGUAGUAACUAGUCUUUUUGAUUAAUCACUGCUUCCUGUUAUCCUACUAUCUUUUGUGCGGAGUGCAAGUAAGGAGCUUUCAAGGGUGAACGAAGUGGAAUAGUCAAGUCAGGCAAUGCCUGAUUUAAAUAGCAAGCAAGUAGAAAUCGGCAAAUCCGUUUUUAUGUUUAUGUGAGCUAUGAUGACGUAAGUUGACGAUUUUCUGUUUCCAGGAAAAGACUCGUGUAAGAGAACAAUUUUAACCGUACCGUAAACCGACACAGGUGGGCGAGUUGAGUAUACAAAGGCGAUCGGGAGAACUAUCCUUAAGGAACUCGGCAACGAAAGCUGGACGUAACCUUUGGGAGAUGUCCUGGUCCGACGUAACGUCGGACUUACAACAAAAGACGCUAAGCGACUGUUUAACAAAAACACAGGUCCCUGCUAAAUCGAAAGAUGAUGUAUAGGGGCUGACACCUGCCCAGUGCCAGUAAUUUACUGUCUCAAGUGACUUCCGACGUAAGUCGGAAUGAGCCUGGGGCCUAAGAUCUGGUGAACGGCAGCAGUAACUAUAACUGUUCUAUGGUAGCGAAGUUCCUCGU
rnacentral:rRNA from 1 species